rnacentral:rRNA from 10 species
UCGUAGGUGACCUGCGGAGGAUCAUUA